GAUGAACGCUGGCGGCGUGCCUAAUACAUGCAAGUCGAGCGAACAGACGAGGAGCUUGCUCCUCUGACGUUAGCGGCGGACGGGUGAGUAACACGUGGAUAACCUACCUAUAAGACUGGGAUAACUUCGGGAAACCGGAGCUAAUACCGGAUAAUAUAUUGAACCGCAUGGUUCAAUAGUGAAAGACGGUUUUGCUGUCACUUAUAGAUGGAUCCGCGCCGCAUUAGCUAGUUUGUAAGGUAACGGCUUACCAAGGCAACGAUGCGUAGCCGACCUGAGCGGGUGAUCGGCCACACUGGAACUGAGACACGGUCCAGACUCCUACUGGAGGCAGCAGUAGGGAAUCUUCCGCAAUGGGCGAAAGCCUGACGGAGCAACGCCGCGUGAGUGAUGAAGGUCUUCGGAUCGUAAAACUCUGUUAUUAGGGAAGAACAAAUGUGUAAGUAACUAUGCACGUCUUGACGGUACCUAAUCAGAAAGCCACGGCUAACUACGUG
rnacentral:rRNA from 1 species